rnacentral:lncRNA from 1 species
AGUAGCAAAGGAAAGGGAGAAGCUAAAUUAAAAUUUCUGUCAGAAACAGUAAAAAGUCACAGAACUGAAGAAAAUCUAACCCAUAAUGUAGAACAGUGACUAUCAAACUGCUUUUCAGAACUCAAUGGGUUUGCAUGAACCAACAAAGGAAAGAUGGAGGGGGUUCCCCCAACUUGUUCAGCAACCGGAUCAGAGCUGCCUCCAUCAGUUGUAUAUUGUGCUGAAUAAGCUUUCCUUUAAGGGAUUCUGCAGCUUAAAUAAGUUACAAUAAACCAAAAGCACCCUCAGGUGGAUAUAGUGAGAGAAAAGGUAGAGAUUUAAAAGGCUGAUUACAAAGAUUUAUCCUUCGAACAACAGGUGUUCCCAAAGAAGACAACAAAAAAAUUAAACAAUAAAUAGUUUUAAUAGAAGAAACCUCGAUCUAAAAAAAGGCUCAAGUCUGAAGAUCCUCUUCCACACAUUAAAUGUCAGCUGAGUGGAGCAGUGUCUACAGAGUUGUCUAGUUCAGGAUUUCUCUACUCAUCCAAAUGUGACGGUAACAGAAAAAAGGUCUGUGAUAUCCAACAUACUACUCAUUUGCCCUUUAUAGAAAAAAUUGCUUGAAUAUUGUCAUUACACUACCAAAAUGAAUCAAAAUUAAGAAUUAAAGAAUGUGGAAAGGCCACUCGGUGAGUAUUGAAAUCAUUGAGAUUAUUAGGACAAUGCAGAUAAUUAUUAUAAAUGUAAUAUUUAAAACGAGAUUUAGUAAGUUAUCUCAAAAAUUUUUAAUGGGAUUUAUAACCCCAGAUUAAGUUAAUGAAGGCAGUUUCGGGGGAGUGGGGGGUGGGGCAAAGUAAGGGGAAAAAUCCUUACCUUUUGUAAAGAAAAAUUGAAAUUUAUUACUCUGUUUUUUACUUGAAAAUUAAAUGUAAGUUUAAGAAUCUUUUGAAAUCUGUUAAGGUGGUUAAUAAUAAAAUUAAUAACAAAAUGUUUCCUGUCCAAAUUUUUGAAAAAGACAAGAAUAAAAUUGCGUAUGUAACAAAAGUCAAAAGCACUUCAGACCAAAAGCUGUUUAAAUUGUUUAAA